rnacentral:rRNA from 1 species
AACGCUGGCGGCGUGCCUAAUACAUGCAAGUAGAACGCUGAAGAGAGGAGCUUGCUCUUCUUGGAUGAGUUGCGAACGGGUGAGUAACGCGUAGGUAACCUGCCUUGUAGCGGGGGAUAACUAUUGGAAACGAUAGCUAAUACCGCAUAACAAUGGAUGACACAUGUCAUUUAUUUGAAAGGGGCAAUUGCUCCACUACAAGAUGGACCUGCGUUGUAUUAGCUAGUAGGUGAGGUAACGGCUCACCUAGGCGACGAUACAUAGCCGACCUGAGAGGGUGAUCGGCCACACUGGGACUGAGACACGGCCCAGACUCCUACGGGAGGCAGCAGUAGGGAAUCUUCGGCAAUGGGGGCAACCCUGACCGAGCAACGCCGCGUGAGUGAAGAAGGUUUUCGGAUCGUAAAGCUCUGUUGUAAGUCAAGAACGAGUGUGAGAGUGGAAAGUUCACACUGUGACGGUAGCUUACCAGAAAGGGACGGCUAACUACGUGCCAGCAGCCGCGGUAAUACGUAGGUCCCGAGCGUUGUCCGGAUUUAUUGGGCGUAAAGCGAGCGCGGGCGGUUUGAUAAGUCUGAAGUUAAAGGCUGUGGCUCAACCAUAGUUCGCUUUGGAAACUGUCAAACUUGAGUGCAGAAGGGGAGAGUGGAAUUCCAUGUGUAGCGGUGAAAUGCGUAGAUAUAUGGAGGAACACCGGUGGCGAAAGCGGCUCUCUGGUCUGUAACUGACGCUGAGGCUCGAAAGCGUGGGGAGCGAACAGGAUUAGAUACCCUGGUAGUCCACGCCGUAAACGAUGAGUGCUAGGUGUUGGAUCCUUUCCGGGAUUCAGUGCCGCAGCUAACGCAUUAAGCACUCCGCCUGGGGAGUACGACCGCAAGGUUGAAACUCAAAGGAAUUGACGGGGGCCCGCACAAGCGGUGGAGCAUGUGGUUUAAUUCGAAGCAACGCGAAGAACCUUACCAGGUCUUGACAUCCCGAUGCUAUUUCUAGAGAUAGAAAGUUACUUCGGUACAUCGGUGACAGGUGGUGCAUGGUUGUCGUCAGCUCGUGUCGUGAGAUGUUGGGUUAAGUCCCGCAACGAGCGCAACCCCUAUUGUUAGUUGCCAUCAUUCAGUUGGGCACUCUAGCGAGACUGCCGGUAAUAAACCGGAGGAAGGUGGGGAUGACGUCAAAUCAUCAUGCCCCUUAUGACCUGGGCUACACACGUGCUACAAUGGUUGGUACAACGAGUUGCGAGUCGGUGACGGCAAGCUAAUCUCUUAAAGCCAAUCUCAGUUCGGAUUGUAGGCUGCAACUCGCCUACAUGAAGUCGGAAUCGCUAGUAAUCGCGGAUCAGCACGCCGCGGUGAAUACGUUCCCGGGCCUUGUACACACCGCCCGUCACACCACGAGAGUUUGUAACACCCGAAGUCGGAGAGGUAACCUUUUGGAGCCAGCCGCCUAAGGUGGGAUAGAUAAUGGGGGUGAAGUCAUAACAAG